CCAGGUUCACACACAGAAACAUAUGUUUCGUCAAUGGAGCUACAACUUGGGUUGAAGAUAUUUCACUCUAUGAGCUCAUUAUUCACCAAGGGAAUUGAUUUAUUUACAGACCCACCUCUUUCCACAAAUGAUUUUAGGUGAUGUUCAGAAAACAGAUAUGUGAGUCAGGAAAAAAGGAAUAAAAAAAUAAUGCAUUAGGACUGGGGGCAUCACAGUUGGGGGAGAAUCAAGAUGGCAGAAGUUUAGGCAAGGCAGAAAAACCCUAUGGUAUUACCCCUACCAAAGAAGCUGAGAUGCAAAUUUGGUUCUGAUGGUUCCAGUAGCCAAAGCAAAAACAAAUAUGAAUUGGGCUCUCAGAUUUCAGCGUUCAUGAAAAGAAAACAAAUGAUUUCCUCAGGGAGGCAAAAUGUCUCCUGGUGCGUGUGUGUACGUGUGUGUGCGUGUAAUGCCAUUUCUUACAUUGGGCUUCUUAAGUGAUUUGAUGCACUGUCUCCUCAAGAGCUCAAGGGUUUUUCUUCUGUCACCACUGCAUGCACGUGGAGAGUCUGAUGUUAAAGUACAAUUCUGUGGCAGGGAAGGGAACAAGAUAAUAAAGGCUACGUUUCAUGAGGAAAAUUCUGGAACCCAUGGAGAACUAGAUGGACUCCGUGCCUUUUCUCAACGGGAGUGUGGGAAUCUUGGUCUUUUCAGAGAGAAUAAUUGCCCGUGAUUUUGGAAGAAAACAGGUUUUGUGAUUCCACCCUCCCAGGCUUGUGAAGCUCCCCUGGAACCAUCUCCCCCAAAGAACCAUCCACCCCUUUUGCUUGGACAAGCUCCCGCCAUCUCCCUGGAGCCGGAGGAGGCUUCACUCUCCAUCUGCUUUGUCUCCAUCAGCCAAAGCCCUCCUGGUCCUCACCCUGGAACCCCGUGGCUGGGGUCCUCAGAAAGCUCGCUUUGAUGGGGGAGAUGAUCACCUCUCCAAAAUACCCACCCGUCCCAAGAUAUGGGGUGACGUUGCAGAUCACAGGCUGGUCUUGUUGGCGCCUGUCAGAGACGUGCUCAGAGCAUCCCGAGCCAGGUGCAACUUGGCCACAGGUGCUUUGUUCCUCAGGAUGGCUGAAGUAGGCGGAGUCUGGGGAAUGGUGCCCAAACCACAAAAUGAGUCAGCUCUUUCUGACGAAAUCGUCUGCUUUCUCAGGAACAGACAAGGAGGUGCUGGAAACUUACAGUGAAAUUGGUGGCUCUGGAGAUGUCUGAUUUGGCAAUGGGGCAACAUAACCCAACUUGUCAAGCGCAUUUUGAGGUGCCUCCUCUGAGAAGAGCUAUUCCCUUCUUUCCUUUCUCUGUGGUAUAAAUCAGCCCUCAGGUUACAGCAAACCCUGCUGCAUCUCACGAAUAUAAUGAAACAUAAUGGGAAUGAGGUGUCUGUGCAGAGAUGGGCCCAGAGGUCAUCCCAGCAUGUGAGUCAAAGGUGCUGUGAAGUACACCAGGCGUGUGUGGGGCUUAAGCCGGGCACCCGGGCGUAAGCUCGGUUGUCCCAAAUUGCCUAUACCUGUCGUCUGGGCUGGGACAGGUCCUGGGGCCAGAGGUGGACACAGCCCCAGGGAAAAGCCCAGUUACAGGCAAGAAGCAGGGCCCACCAUCCUCCCUGAAACCACGGCCAGUCUCUGGAUCUAAACCCAGCCCUCGUUUCUGUGCUUUUGUAGAA